rnacentral:rRNA from 1 species
UGGGGAAUAUUGCACAAUGGGGGAAACCCUGAUGCAGCGACGCCGCGUGAGCGAAGAAGGCCUUCGGGUCGUAAAGCUCUGUCCUAUGGGAAGAUAAUGACGGUACCAUAGGAGGAAGCCCCGGCUAACUACGUGCCAGCAGCCGCGGUAAUACGUAGGGGGCGAGCGUUGUCCGGAAUUACUGGGCGUAAAGGGUUCGCAGGCGGCAUGGCAAGUCCGAUGUAAAAGGCGAAGGCUCAACCUUCGUAAGCAUCGGAAACUGUCAAGCUUGAGUGAAGGAGAGGCAAGUGGAAUUCCUAGUGUAGCGGUGGAAUGCGUAGAUAUUAGGAGGAAUACCGGUGGCGAAGGCGACUUGCUGGACUUCAACUGACGCUGAGGAACGAAAGCGUGGGUAGCAAACAGG